UAUCUCCUCUCUCUCUCCUUCUUUUUCUCCUUCCGUCUCUCGAAGGGGAAACUUGGUGACCAGUCCUUUGCCACGUUGAGCCUCCAGCCGGUCCACAUUGCUCACUACCGGAGCGUUCUUCCUGGUUUUUUUUGGUCUCGGAAGCUUCAGAAGACAAAUCCAAAAGUAGAAUUUGAAUGUAAUGGGCUCCAAACAAAAGGCUGAGGGGAGAUGACCUGGCGCCAAUUAGCCGAUAAGGAGACAAAUCAAGAAUCCGCCAAGAAGAAGAGACGUCAUUCAAGACGGUCGCGAUGUGAAGAGGUGAAAGGAGAUCGCCCGGCCACAGCCCCCCUCAUCCAUCCCUCACAAUGCUGUUUCUCCUCCAGCCGGCUCAAUCGGCCCGAUCAGCACUUUGCCACAGUCGGACUGUUAGAGCAGGAGGAGCUGGACUCAAGAGUCUGUUGCUGGAGUCGCAGUGAGUACAGCUGUGUGUGUGUGCAUAUGCGUGUGUGUGCAUGGGUAUAAAAAACUUCUCCACAGCAUCCUUCAGUCGCCCAGCCCGCCUGCCCAGUGUUCAGACUACCUGUUCAGGAAGUAGUGGUUGUACAGUAGUCUGCACAUUGGUUAGGCUGGCUGGGGAAGCACGGGACGACUCACGCAAGAAGACACAAAAAGAAAAGCGAGACGGCACUCCAAAAGAGCAUCCGGCAGGCGGGAGCACAUCAGGGUGUGGGAACACGCAGCACCACCCCUCGUCCAUCUGGACAAGCCCAGGCACAAGCCUAAAUAAAGCAUCCGAAGGCCCCACCACAGAGGCCUGGCCCUCGUCUGCCGUGGAUUUAUGAAAGACGGACACAUAAAUUCUGUCAGCUAUAAAGAGACAUGUGGUUACGGUUUAUCUCGCUUUGCAGAUUUCUGUGUAUAACUUGAACUAAGAGUGAAGUCUGAUGAAGAUAUGAGUGUAACAAAAAAAGUUGAAAUAAAAGAUGCCUGGUUAUCUAUUUUCUA